rnacentral:tRNA from 1 species
ACUUUUAAAGGAUAAAAGCAAUCCAUUGGUCUUAGGCACCAAAACUCUUGGUGCAAAUCCAAGUAAAAGUU